rnacentral:rRNA from 1 species
CACGUAGGGGGCGAGCGUUGUCCGGAUUUAUUGGGCGUAAAGAGCUCGUAGGCGGCCUGUUAAGUCGAACGUGAAAUCCCCGGGCUCAACCCGGGAACUGCGUCCGAUACUGGCAGGCUUGAAUCCGGGAGAGGGAUGCGGAAUUCCAGGUGUAGCGGUGAAAUGCGUAGAUAUCUGGAGGAACACCGGUGGCGAAGGCGGCAUCCUGGACCGGCAUUGACGCUGAGGCGCGAAAGCCAGGGGAGCAAACGGG